CCUACGGGGUGCUGCAGUGGGGAAUAUUGGACAAUGGGCGAAAGCCUGAUCCAGCCAUGCCGCGUGUGUGAAGAAGGCCUUCGGGUUGUAAAGCACUUUCAGUGGGGAAGAAAGCCUUGGGGCUAAUACCCUCGAGGAAGGACAUCACCCACAGAAGAAGCACCGGCUAACUCCGUGCCAGCAGCCGCGGUAAUACGGAGGGUGCGAGCGUUAAUCGGAAUUACUGGGCGUAAAGCGCGCGUAGGCGGUCUGAUAAGCCGGUUGUGAAAGCCCCGGGCUCAACCUGGGAACGGCAUCCGGAACUGUCUGGCUAGAGUGCAGGAGAGGAAGGUAGAAUUCCCGGUGUAGCGGUGAAAUGCGUAGAGAUCGGGAGGAAUACCAGUGGCGAAGGCGGCCUUCUGGACUGACACUGACGCUGAGGUGCGAAAGCGUGGGUAGCAAACAGGAUUAGAUACCCUUGUAGUC
rnacentral:rRNA from 1 species